rnacentral:lncRNA from 1 species
CCCACAGCGAUUGCUCCAUUCCUUACGCCCUCCUCUAAGGAAUCUGAGCUUCUUGUCUUGUUCCACCUAAAGCGUGACCACACUGAGGUGUUUUGAGACAACAACAAAGCUGGUUCCCACCUCUCUGGCUAUGACUUCCUGGGUGACUGCUUGGAGGAAAAGAGGACCACAAGGAGACUGGUGCACAGAAUUCAUGAGCCUGACUAGUCUUAUUAGUGAAUGCCUGGAGAUGCUGAGAUGGUUGGUGCUCUGUGUCUCAGAGGGAUGCUGAGAUGGUUGGUAAUCCUGUGUCUCAGAGGGUGGCCUCUUUAAGUUCUGGGCAUCUGAAGUUGGG